ensembl:lncRNA
CAGCCAAUAAAGUAGGCAUUUGGGUAUACAUACCAAGAUUGUUUUUUAUGGACGUUUCAUCCUUUAAGAAAUCAGGCUGGUGGUGUUAAUGAAAGAAAGUAUUGAUAAUAUUCUCAAAAGGCACUCAGCCCAGUGCUUCUGUGGUUGUUAAGAGGACAGUACCACGGGAGUCUUUGCCAUAGCUGAUGGAGUAAAUUUUUCUGUGGCUCCUCAGAGCAAUUCCCUGGGUGGUAGGGUCAGCUCUGUGCUUAUGCAGGGACAGGGACUUCAGUCAGAUAGGGGAAUUACAUUUCAGGACGGGAUGCUCAGGGGCUGAGGUCCAAUUUACAUAGAGGCUGCUUUUUAGUUGCUGUCUUCUGGACAGCAGUGGAGCAGGAUAGAAGAUUUUUUUUUUUUUCAACUUACAUACAGUGUGACCAUUCAGUCUCCUUAAACCCAUCACUGUCGGGGCUUUCUCCGUUCCGUCAUGUUAGAAAGGGGAGUCACUGUUGUCCAGAUGGAAAACUUCUGGCUUGGGUGAAUGGAGGAAGAUAGGAUGCCAUGGAGUUGAUUAAGAAUGAACCCUUAUUUUUGCAGGUUACCUCUUGGAGCUAUAGAAUAAAAACAGUUUCCUUAGGUUAGGAAGUCCAAACUGGAAGCUGACAAAGUCUUUUGGGGAAGCUGUUGAAAAUAUGCAGUAAAAGUUGCUAAAUUUAAUGUUAAUUUCAUCAUUAAGUCAAAGGUCAAGGUUUUAUUCCCAAUUACAUUUACCAUGAACUUAUCGAAAUGGCCUUGCUGCAUUUCUAAAUGAUCUCCACAAUCCCUCUAUGGUUUUGUUAAAUUAUCAUCUUGCAAACGAAUCUUCCGACUUUCCCAGUGCAAAAGGCUCUCUGCCUGACCACAUGAAGAGCAGCCUGCUCUGGGAGCUGAAGUCCUCCUGUGUAUUCCUUGAACUGGAUCCAAAUUCAUUACAGAUAGACUGUGAAGCGGACAUAGAUGAUGAAGCUGGUGAAGAGGAGGGGGCAGGAGGGAAGGCAAGCAAGGGACGGAGACAAGCCUUCCCUGGAAUAUUUGCCGAGUGAACGUCCUCUGUGCAGACUCACAUGAUGCUUUGUCAUCUUUGGGAGAAGAGCCAAUAUUAUAAAAAGUUGCUGGGGAAAAAAAUGGAUCACGGCAGAAUAACCAGGGCAUUUAACCAGCCUGAGUUUGGUAUGCUUGAUGUCCAUACCCUUUUAGGAAAGAUUUGCCUUUUAUUGUCACUCUUUGCCUAGCCAGUAUUUUAGUGGUUCCUUUUGCUUCUGAAAUUGGAGCCCUGAAGAUACCAGAUCCCUAGGGUGGUGUCGUCAGGUCAGAAGCAGUCACCAAAGAGUGGCUUGGAGGGAGUACCGAGAAUCUCCAUUACUGUGAUAUCUCCUCCCCACCAUCCUCCCCUCCCUGUCACCCCUGUCUUUUCCUGAUAUAGACAGUUGGUGUUUUCUUAGUCUUUUGUAAAGUGCCAUGAAAACUAACCUCGGGGAUUAGACACCUCCCUUACACCCUUCCAUCCUGAUUGCUACCCCCAGACCUCUCUCAUUGAGAUGUUCUGGGGCUUCUCCCAUUUCAUGUUGAUAUCAGAAGAGAGAUUUGGAAACAUGUGUAUCUUUUUUUGACCCUUCCCUGAGAAUUCAAAGGGGAAAAAGUCACUUUAAAUAUUGUCUGAAACACAGAUGUGAGCCAGCUUCUUCCCAGCCCCAGACAACGGGUUUUGUUUCUUCUCUAGGAGGUGAUGGUUGCUGGCCUCUGUGGGUGUCCCGGGUCAAAGAAACAGAAUUUAGAACCUGGAAGUGUUGAUCAAGACGAACACUGCAACUUUGAUCAGCUAAGUAUGAAUAAAUCAGAAAUGUAUGCUUUAAAUUCCCUUCGA